GACGAACGCUGGCGGCGUGCCUAACACAUGCAAGUCGAACGGGGCUCUUUGGAUCGAGACUUCGGUCAAGUGAAUCUGAGCUUAGUGGCGGACGGGUGAGUAACGCGUGAGCAACCUGCCUUUCAGAGGGGGAUAACAGUUAGAAAUGACUGCUAAUACCGCACAAGACCACAGGGUCGCAUGACCCGGUGGUAAAAACUCCGGUGGUAUGAGAUGGAUCCGCGUCUGAUUAGCUAGUUGGUGGGGUAACGGCCCACCAAGGCGACGAUCAGUAGCCGACCUGAGAGGGUGACCGGCCACAUUGGGACUGAGACACGGCCCAA
rnacentral:rRNA from 1 species